AGAGUUUGAUCCUGGCUCAGAACGAACGCUGGCGGCACGCCUAACACAUGCAAGUCGAGCGCCCAGCAAUGGGAGCGGCGGACGGGUGAGGAACACGUGGGAACAUGCCUUUCGGUUCGGCACAACUGCGGGAAACUGCAGCUAAUUCCGGAUACGCCCUUACGGGGAAAGAUUUAUCGCCGAAAGAUUGGCCCGCGUCUGAUUAGCUAGUUGGUGAGGUAAUGGCUCACCAAGGCUUCGAUCAGUAGCUGGUUUGAGAGAACGACCAGCCACACUGGGACUGAGACACGGCCCAGACUCCUACGGGAGGCAGCAGUGGGGAAUCUUGGACAAUGGAGGAAACUCUGAUCCAGCGAUGCCGCGUGAGUGAUGAAGGCCUUCGGGUUGUAAA
rnacentral:rRNA from 1 species